UACGGAAGGGGCGAGCGUUGUUCGGAAUCAUUGGGCGUAAAGGGCGCGUAGGUGGUUCUGUGUGUCUACCGUGAAAGCGUACGGCUCAACCGUAUUUUGUCGGUAGAAACUGCAGGACUUGAGGCUGGGAGGGGCUGGUGGAAUUCCCUGUGUAGCGGUGAAAUGCGUAGAGAUGGGGGAGAACACUCGUGGCGAAGGCGGCCAGCUAGACCAGUUCUGACACUGAGGCGCGACAGCGUGGGGAGCAAACAGG
rnacentral:rRNA from 1 species